rnacentral:rRNA from 1 species
UAGGGAAUCUUCCGCAAUGGGCGCAAGCCUGACGGAGCAACGCCGCGUGAGUGAUGAAGGUUUUCGGAUCGUAAAGCUCUGUUGCCAAGGAAGAACAGUAAGGAGAGUAACUGCUCUUUAUUUGACGGUACUUGAGAAGAAAGCCCCGGCUAACUACGUGCCAGCAGCCGCGGUAAUACGUAGGGGGCAAGCGUUGUCCGGAAUUAUUGGGCGUAAAGCGCGCGCAGGCGGUUUUUUAAGUCUGGGGUUUAACUGCAGGGCUCAACCCUGUAUCGCCUCGGAAACUGGGAGACUGGAGUGUAGGAGAGGAAAGUGGAAUUCCACGUGUAGCGGUGAAAUGCGUAGAGAUGUGGAGGAACACCAGUGGCGAAGGCGACUUUCUGGCCUAUAACUGACGCUGAGGCGCGAAAGCGUGGGGAGCAAACAGGAUUAGAUACCCCUGUAGUCC